rnacentral:rRNA from 1 species
GACGAACGCUGGCGGCGUGCUUAACACAUGCAAGUCGUACGGUAAGGCCCUUUCGGGGGUACACGAGUGGCGAACGGGUGAGUAACACGUGCGUAACCUGCCCACAACUUUGGGAUAACGCUAGGAAACUGGUGCUAAUACUGGAUAUGUGCUCCUGCUGCAUGGUGGGGGUUGGAAAGCUCCGGCGGUUGUGGAUGGACUCGCGGCCUAUCAGCUUGCUGGUGGGGCAGUGGCCUACCAAGGCGGCGACGGGUAGCCGGCCUGAGAGGGUGACCGGCCACAUUGGGACUGAGGUACGGCACAGACUCCUACGGGAGGCAGCAGUGGGGAAUAUUGCACGAGGGGCGCAAGCCGGAUGCAGCAACGCCGCGUGCGGGAUGACGGCCUUCGGGUUGUAAACCGCUUUCAGCAGGGACGAAGCUUUUUGUGACGGUACCUGCAGAAGAAGCACCGGCUAACUACGUG